rnacentral:tRNA from 1 species
UCCCGUAAUUCCAUUUUACCACUUUCU